AUUAUUCAUUGUUUAAGUUUAUUGUAUUUAAAAUAUAUUUUAACUUAACUGAUUUUCUAAUUUUUAAAAGACUAAACUAUUAAUAGGUUAGGAAGACACUUUAGUUGUUGUUUUGAAAUUUUAGAACUAACUUUUGUUUGCAAGAAACAAAAGCUUGAUAUAUAUUUUAAGUGAGUAGCAAAUGAUUUUGUCCAUAAUUAUAUGUAUAUUAUCAAAUUUUGAGCAAUAAGCAUCAUUAAUAUAAAUAUUUUGAAUAAAAUGAGAGAACUAAACUAGAAAUAUAGGGCUAAGUAUACUUAUGUUUGGUUAUCUUCGGAUAUCCAUUCGGGUUCGGAUAUUACCCGUUCGGAUUCAGAUAUUACCCGAACUGGUGAAAUAAAUAAUUUCUUUUCUUUUUCUUGAAUUAGAUGAUUUUUAGACUGUGCUGAUGAAUAUACACUAGACAAACAUUUAUAUUUUGAGUCUGCACUUAUAUUCUAUAACAAUUUGAUAUAUUAGAUUUGAACACUAACCUGUUAAUAUAGUUUGCCGAUGUUUUUUUUCAAAAUUUUGAU
rnacentral:lncRNA from 1 species